CUGGACGUGUUCCCAGAGGUAUGCUUCUGUGAGGCCGGGAGAGUUAACUGUAACAAAAAGGGACUAUUCAGCGUCCCAGCUGUGUCUUCCAAUAUAACAGCUCUUGAGCUGAACAGCAACCAGAUAACAGCUCUCCAACCAGACCAGUUCAUCCGCUACAGACACCUUGAGAGACUACACCUGGAAGACAACAGGAUCAAAAGAAUCUCCAAGCAGGCAUUCUCAGGACUCUACUCACUAAGAAGACUGUAAGUCCUAAUUCAUUAUGGGCCACGGUCUGACCUGCGGUACCAUGCGUACAUCCCUACAUCACCUCUAAUGGUUGCCCUACA
rnacentral:lncRNA from 1 species